rnacentral:rRNA from 1 species
AUGAACGCUGGCGGCGUGCCUAAUACAUGCAAGUCGAGCGAACAGACGAGGAGCUUGCUCCUCUGACGUUAGCGGCGGACGGGUGAGUAACACGUGGAUAACCUACCUAUAAGCCUGGGAUAACUUCGGGAAACCGGAGCUAAUACCGGAUAAUAUAUUGAACCGCAUGGUUCCAUAGUGAAAGACGGUUUUGCUGUCACUUAUAGAUGGAUCCGCGCCGCAUUAGCUAGUUGGUAAGGUAACGGCUUACCAAGGCAACGAUGCGUAGCCGACCUGAGAGGGUGAUCGGCCACACUGGAACUGAGACACGGUCCAGACUCCUACGGGAGGCAGCAGUAGGGAAUCUUCCGCAAUGGGCGAAAGCCUGACGGAGCAACGCCGCGUGAGUGAUGAAGGUCUUCGGAUCGUAAAACUCUGUUAUUAGGGAAGAACAAAUGUGUAAGUAACUAUGCACGUCUUGACGGUACCUAAUCAGAAAGCCACGGCUAACUACGUG